AUACGAAAGGUGCAAGCGUUGUUCGGAUUUACUGGGCGUAAAGAGAGUGUAGGUUGUUUAUUAAGUCGGAUGUGAAAUCCCGGGGCUCAACCUCGGAACUGCAUUCGAUACUGGUAGACUAGAGUUCGGGAGGGGUAAGCGGAAUUCCGUGUGUAGCAGUGAAAUGCGUAGAUAUACGGAGGAACACCUGAGGCGAAGGCGGCUUACUGGACCGACACUGACACUGAGACUCGAAAGCGUGGGUAGCAAACAGGAUUAGAUACCCCAGUAGUCC
rnacentral:rRNA from 1 species